UUGCACGCUGGCGGCAGGCCUAACACAUGCAAGUCGAGCGGAUGAAGGGAGCUUGCUCCUGGAUUCAGCGGCGGACGGGUGAGUAAUGCCUAGGAAUCUGCCUGGUAGUGGGGGAUAACGUCCGGAAACGGGCGCUAAUACCGCAUACGUCCUGAGGGAGAAAGUGGGGGAUCUUCGGACCUCACGCUAUCAGAUGAGCCUAGGUCGGAUUAGCUAGUUGGUGGGGUAAAGGCCUACCAAGGCGACGAUCCGUAACUGGUCUGAGAGGAUGAUCAGUCACACUGGAACUGAGACACGGUCCAGACUCCUACGGGAGGCAGCAGUGGGGAAUAUUGGACAAUGGGCGAAAGCCUGAUCCAGCCAUGCCGCGUGUGUGAAGAAGGUCUUCGGAUUGUAAAGCACUUUAAGUUGGGAGGAAGGGCAGUAAGUUAGUACCUUGCUGUUUUGACGUUACCAACAGAAUAAGCACCGGCUAACUUCGUG
rnacentral:rRNA from 1 species